rnacentral:rRNA from 1 species
GACGAACGCUGGCGGCGUGCUUAACACAUGCAAGUCGAACGGAAAGGCCCUGCUUUUGUGGGGUGCUCGAGUGGCGAACGGGUGAGUAACACGUGAGUAACCUGCCCUUGACUUUGGGAUAACUUCAGGAAACUGGGGCUAAUACCGGAUAGGAGCUCCUGCUGCAUGGUGGGGGGUGGAAAGUUUCGGCGGUUGGGGAUGGACGCGCGGCUUAUCAGCUUGUUGGUGGGGUAGUGGCUUACCAAGGCUUUGACGGGUAGCCGGCCUGAGAGGGUGACCGGCCACAUGGGGCCUGCGGUACGGCCCAGACUCCUACGGUAGGCAGCAGGGGGGAAUAUUGCACAAUGGGCGCAAGCCUGAUGCAGCGACGCCGCGUGCGGGAUGCCGGCCUUCGGGGUGUGAACCGCUUUCGCCUGUGACGAAGCGUGAGUGACGGCAAUGGGUAAAGAAGCACCGGCUAACUACGUG